UCAGUCGACUCCUACGGGGAGGCAGCAGUGGGGGAAUAUUGCACAAUGGGCGCAAGCCUGAUGCAGCCAUGCCGCGUGUAUGAAGAAGGACCUUCGGGUUGUAAAGUACUUUCAGCAGUGAGGAAGGUGGGUAUGUUAAUAGCAUAUUCAUUUGACGUUAGCUGCAGAAGAAAGCACCGGCUAACUCCGUGCCAGCAGCCGCGGUAAUACGGAGGGUGCGAGCGUUAAUCGGAAUUACUGGGCGUAAAGCGCAUGCAGGUGGUUUGUUAAGUCAGAUGUGAAAGCCCGGGGCUCAACCUCGGAAUUGCAUUUGAAACUGGCAAACUAGAGUACUGUAGAGGGGGGUAGGAAUUUCAGGUGUAGCGGUGAAAUGCGUAGAGAUCUGAAGGAAUACCGGUGGCGAAGGCGGCCCCCUGGACAGAUACUGACACUCAGAUGCGAAAGCGUGGGGAGCAAACAGGAUUAGAUACCCUGGUAG
rnacentral:rRNA from 1 species